rnacentral:rRNA from 1 species
UGGGGAAUAUUGGACAAUGGGCGAAAGCCUGAUCCAGCCAUGCCGCGUGUGUGAAGAAGGUCUUCGGAUUGUAAAGCACUUUAAGUUGGGAGGAAGGGCAGUAAAUUAAUACUUUGCUGUUUUGACGUUACCGACAGAAUAAGCACCGGCUAACUCUGUGCCAGCAGCCGCGGUAAUACAGAGGGUGCAAGCGUUAAUCGGAAUUACUGGGCGUAAAGCGCGCGUAGGUGGUUCGUUAAGUUGGAUGUGAAAUCCCCGGGCUCCACCUGGGAACUGGAUUCAAAACUGACGAGCUAGAGUAUGGUAGAGGGUGGUGGAAUUUCCUGUGUAGCGGUGA